rnacentral:lncRNA from 1 species
GGUGACGGUGGUUACAGAGAUAAAAAUAGAAUCUUGAGUCUGACUCAAAGACAAAACACGAUGUAAACAGCACUUGCCUGUCCGUGUUCUGGCUUCCCCGUCCCUUCCCUGCAUCGCCAGGGCACUGCCCAGCAAGGCUGGCACGCAGGGGGGUGACCGGACAAGACGAGCCCGGGGCUUCCAGGGGACGUAAUGCCAUUUCUUGGCCGUAAGGAGCUAUCUCCUACAAUACCAAAGGGUAUGCGAGGAAAGAUUUUAAGAUCGGAGUAAAUAAACCCACACUUUAAUGAUCCUUCUGGUCCAGCUUUACCAAGUUCUGUUUUGAAAGUUGACACUCACACUCUAGAUGUCAUGUUUGCUUCCUAAAGCGGGACUGCGUGUUCCCAAGUGGACACGGGCAGUGUGCAGCGCGGCCCGGGCCCAGGGGGAGGAGGACGGGGGGCAGCGUGUGCCCACCUAGGCAGCGGAGCCUCCCCUCAGCUUCCUGAAAUGCGACAGUCCAGCUGCUAAAACAGAAGGUCCCAAUCGGAAGACGAGAGGGCACCAACCGGCCCGGUGUGGCAUGAUUAACCUUCCAGAACACACAAGAGAUGAGCCUGCUUCUUCUAGGAUGGCCACAGUACCUCUGACUUUGGAACAAGCAAUUCAGACUCACCACGUUGUGGUUCGCUCGUGUGUCUUCUCUGCCCGGGGGUUAGAUGAUGCAGUUCCCGGGCGAGCAAAGGAGGAUUCGAGUGGAAGGGAAAGCAGGGGACGCUGGAGGAUGGGAGGUUGCGGUCAGAGCGGGAUGCCCAGCACGAUCUCUGAGUCUGAGCAGCUCUGGGCAAAGCCCAGAGGAGGCCAGGACAGCAAGGCGAUAUUGGACCAACUACGUGGACCAGGAAUGAGACCGUAGCAUCACCUUGAUGAAAAGGACGAAGAAAUGUUGAAACUCCCAAAGAAGCAAUUAAAUGGCAGAUUUCUUUUUCUUUAGUUCAAAGUUAUGAUAAGCAACAAUAGCAUCAUCCACUAAAUAACAUAUUCAUUAUAAACGUAACAUUUUCCAUACAGAAACCUGGAACCAUGAAUGAGAAGACGUAGAAAAAGAAGAAUAAAACUCACAGAGGGAUGAGAUCA